GGAUGUGAGGGUGACCUGACUGUGACAUCUGUCAUCCCACUGGUGGCCAGGGUUGAUUCAGAUGAUCUGGCUGGCUGGGCAGGUGUCCCUUGCUGCCUCACCGCUCAUGUUUAUCCUUCCUGAAGCUGUGCUCCCUCCAUGGAAGGGGACGCCCGCCCGAGAGGGGGGGGGGACACCCCUUUCCUCAGCCCAGGGUAUAGGACUAGCUGCACUCCCUUCUAGAACCUCCAGACAAGUUCCCUGAAAGAGUGUCUGGCACACAGAAGGAGCUCUGUGUGCAUGUCCGCGAGGCAAAUACAUUAGCUCUCAC
rnacentral:snRNA from 1 species